UUCGGGUGCUGUCCAAUGUUAAAUUAACUGGUGACAGAGAUAGGUUGGUUUGGAAGCACAAGAAAAAGAGACAUUUACAGUAAAAUCUUACUAUGAACACAUUAUGAAAGGCAGCAUAUGCAGAUUCAAUAAUUUUCUUGCCAACCAGAUUUGGAAAGUUCAGGCCCCUCCGAAGACUGUUUUUUUUUGCUUGGGAGGCCAGAAGGAAUUGUAUUUUAACUGUGGAUAAUUUGGUGAGAAGGGGUAUGGUGCUGGUGAACAUAUACUGUAUGUGCAAGAGUGAGGCUGAAACUUGCAAUCAUCUUAUUUUUCAUUGUCCUGCUGUGUACAAGUUAUGGUGCUCAAUCU
rnacentral:lncRNA from 1 species